GUGGCGAACGGGUGAGUAACACGUGGGCAACCUGCCCCUGGCUCUGGGAUAACUCCAAGAAAUUGGGGCUAAUACCGGAUAUGACCGCUGACCGCAUGGUCUGGUGGUGGAAAGAUUUAUCGGCUGGGGAUGGGCCCGCGGCCUAUCAGCUUGUUGGUGGGGUAGUGGCCUACCAAGGCGACGACGGGUAGCCGGCCUGAGAGGGUGACCGGCCACACUGGGACUGAGACACGGCCCAGACUCCUACGGGAGGCAGCAGUGGGGAAUAUUGCGCAAUGGGCGAAAGCCUGACGCAGCGACGCCGCGUGGGGGAUGACGGCCUUCGGGUUGUAAACCUCUUUCAGCAGGGACGAAGCGAAAGUGACGGUACCUGCAGAAGAAGCACCGGCCAACUACGUGCCAGCAGCCGCGGUAAUACGUAGGGUGCAAGCGUUGUCCGGAAUUAUUGGGCGUAAAGAGCUCGUAGGCGGUUCGUCGCGUCGGCUGUGAAAACCUGAGGCUCAACCUCAGGCCUGCAGUCGAUACGGGCGGACUUGAGUACUGCAGGGGAGACUGGAAUUCCUGGUGUAGCGGUGAAAUGCGCAGAUAUCAGGAGGAACACCGGUGGCGAAGGCGGGUCUCUGGGCAGUAACUGACGCUGA
rnacentral:rRNA from 1 species